GUAGAGCAGAGGACUGAAAAUCCUCGUGUCCUUGGUUCGAUUCCAUGUCUGGGCA
rnacentral:tRNA from 1 species